UCUUAAACAGAAGAGAUGGAAACGCCU
rnacentral:piRNA from 1 species